GGACGAACGGCUGGCGGCGUGCCUAACACAUGCAAGUCGAGCGGGGACAUUGCGACGGAGGCGAAGUAUUCGUACGGAGUCAAAGAUGUAAUGUUCUAGCGGCGGACGGGUGAGUAACGCGUGAGCAACCUGUCCCUUACAGGGGGAUAACACAGCGAAAGUUGUACUAAUACCGCAUAAGACCACAGAGUGACAUCGCUCAGGGGUCAAAGGAGCAAUCCGGUAAGGGGUGGGCUCGCGUCCGAUUUAGAUAGUUGGUGAGGUAACGGCCCACCAAGUCGACGAUCGGUAGCCGACCUGAGAGGGUGAUCGGCCACAUUGGGACUGAGACACGGCCCAAACUCCUACGGGAGGCAGCAGUGGGGAAUAUUGGGCAAAUGGGGGAAACCCUGACCCAGCAACGCCGCGUGAGGGAAGAAGGUUUUCGGAUCGUAAACCUCUGUCCCAGGUGAAGAGGAAGAGACGGUAGCCUGGGAGGAAGCCCCGGCUAACUACGUGCCAGCCGCCGC
rnacentral:rRNA from 1 species